AGGAUAAUAGUUAAUAAAUAACAUUUAAUUUGCAUUUAAAAAAAAUUGAAAAUUUCAAUUUAUCUUA
rnacentral:tRNA from 1 species